rnacentral:tRNA from 1 species
UGGGGAUUAGCCAAGCGGUAAGGCAAUGGACUUUGACUCCGUCACCCCAGGUUCGAAUCCUGGAUCCCCAGCCA